ACGAACGCUGGCGGCGUGCCUAAUACAUGCAAGUCGAGCGAAUCGAUGGGAGCUUGCUCCCUGAGGUUAGCGGCGGACGGGUGAGUAACACGUGGGUAACCUGCCUGUAAGACUGGGAUAACUCCGGGAAACCGGGGCUAAUACCGGAUAACAUCUAGAAUCGCAUGAUUCUAGAUUAAAAGAUGGUUUCGGCUAUCACUUACAGAUGGACCCGCGGCGCAUUAGCUAGUUGGUGAGGUAACGGCUCACCAAGGCAACGAUGCGUAGCCGACCUGAGAGGGUGAUCGGCCACACUGGGACUGAGACACGGCCCAGACUCCUACGGGAGGCAGCAGUAGGGAAUCUUCGGCAAUGGGCGAAAGCCUGACCGAGCAACGCCGCGUGAGCGAUGAAGGCCUUCGGGUCGUAAAGCUCUGUUGUUAAGGAAGAACAAGUACGAGAGUAACUGCUCGUACCUUGACGGUACUUAACGAGAAAGCCACGGCUAACUACGUG
rnacentral:rRNA from 1 species